rnacentral:rRNA from 1 species
AGUCGAGGGGUAUAGGAAGCUUGCUUCCUAGAGACCGGCGCACGGGUGCGUAACGCGUAUGCAAUCUACCUUUUACAGAGGGAUAGCCCAGAGAAAUUUGGAUUAAUACCUCAUAGUAUAAUGAAUCGGCAUCGGUUUAUUAUUAAAGUCACAACGGUAAAAGAUGAGCAUGCGUCCCAUUAGCUAGUUGGUAAGGUAACGGCUUACCAAGGCAACGAUGGGUAGGGGUCCUGAGAGGGAGAUCCCCCACACUGGUACUGAGACACGGACCAGACUCCUACGGGAGGCAGCAGUGAGGAAUAUUGGUCAAUGGGCGCAAGCCUGAACCAGCCAUGCCGCGUGCAGGAUGACGGUCCUAUGGAUUGUAAACUGCUUUUGUACAGGAAGAAACACUCCCUCGUGAGGGAGCUUGACGGUACUGUAAGAAUAAGGAUCGGCUAACUCCGUGCCAGCAGCCGCGGUAAUACGGAGGAUCCAAGCGUUAUCCGGAAUCAUUGGGUUUAAAGGGUCCGUAGGCGGGUUAAUAAGUCAGUGGUGGAAGCCCAUCGCUCAACGAUGGAACGGCCAUUGAUACUGUUAGUCUUGAAUUAUUAGGAAGUAACUAGAAUAUGUAGUGUAGCGGUGAAAUGCUUAGAGAUUACAUGGAAUACCAAUUGCGAAGGCAGGUUACUACUAAUGGAUUGACGCUGAUGGACGAAAGCGUGGGUAGCGAACAGGAUUAGAUACCCUGGUAGUCCACGCC